GGGGGUUGGAAUGUCUCCCAGGUGUGUGUCUGGGCCUCUCCCUGCAGGGAUUAAAAAAAUGUUUUCUCUGUGUCAGGACAGACCUGAUGAUGUCUCUGAUUAGUUAAUUGUAUUGGGAAGGGGGUCUUGCACCUGACCUGUCCCACACAAGAGCAUUUGUAGAUACCUGUGCUGUCUGACCAAGCUCUAAGCUCUCUACAAUGCCUGCUUCAGCCACCUUCAAGUCCAAAAAAGAAAAAAAAGCCACCAAUAUUCUUUCCAUUACACCAGGGUCCUUUACUUGAGAUCUGUGGACUUUUGAAAAAAAUUUGAUAACUACAUUUUUAUACAAUUGGGAUAUUGCCAUGGAGAACUGAUAGCUUGGAGGGAUAUCUGCCCCAAACCUACAAAAUGUUCUGGCUUUGACCUUGGAAGGAACUUCCUUCUGGGAAGAUUAUGCAGAGAAAGAGAAAGAAUUGAUGAACUCACCUGCUGUGCUGGGUAGAGACUGGGGACAAUUUAUCGAUUUUCCUACAUCAGAGAUCAACAACAGCACAGGUGAUCAGAAUAGAAGCAAAAUUAACAGACUGACUUGAUAUGAGAAGAACCCAACAGGACAUUGUUUUAGAUUGAAAAGGACUGAAGAAUAGAGAAGAUUGAAUUAUCAGUCAUUGGUAUUGGACUUAGACUCAGGAAGACCAGAGUUCAGAUACUGUCUUAGACACUUAUUAGCUAUAGGAUCCUGGGUAAGAUACUUAAAUAUUCUCUCUGUUUCUUAACCAGUAAAAUGAGAGAGUUGGACUUGAUGAUUCUUUUAACUCUAAUUCUAUAAGCCUAUUAUACCAUGUCACGAAUUUCCUUUUGUUUCUCUUUGGACUAUACUAAUCUCUUCUAUCACUUCCUUCUCAGUUUCUCCUCUGAGCAAUGAGGAAUGAUGAGAGGAAGAUUCAAAAUACCUUGAA